GACGAACGCUGGCGGCGUGCUUAACACAUGCAAGUCGAGCGGUAAGGCCCUUUCGGGGGUACACGAGCGGCGAACGGGUGAGUAACACGUGGGUGACCUGCCCGUCAGCUCUGGGAUAAGCCUGGGAAACCGGGUCUAAUACUGGAUAUGACUCCAUGACGCAUGUUGGUGGGGUGGAAAGCCUUGUGCGGCUGAGGAUGGGG
rnacentral:rRNA from 1 species